UGGGUUGUGGCUCAGCGGUAGAGCGCUCGCCUGGCACGCGCGAGGCCCUGGGUUGAAUCCUCAACACCACAU
rfam:Ictidomys tridecemlineatus contig058999, whole genome shotgun sequence.